rnacentral:rRNA from 1 species
GACGUAGGGCGCAAGCGUUGUCCGGAUUUAUUGGGCGUAAAGAGCUCGUAGGCGGCUUGUUGCGUCGUCCGUGAAAACCUGUGGCUCAACUACAGGCUUGCGGUCGAUACGGGCGGGCUGGAGUUCGGUAGGGGAGACUGGAAUUCCUGGUGUAGCGGUGAAAUGCGCAGAUAUCAGGAGGAACACCGGUGGCGAAGGCGGCCUUCUGGGCCUGUUCUGACGCUGAGGAGCGAAAGCGUGGGGAGCAAACAGG